GCUUGGUGAUGUUGAGGGUAAUUGUGUCAUUUCACAUAACUACUUUUUUAUGUUCUGCUAGACACAUAAACUUUCAUUUAUCUAUGAAUGCUAAGCUUCAUGUAAAGUGACUCUUCUCCAAAAACAUUUCUAUCCAGAUCGCUAGCUUUCCAUCUCAUCUUGUUCUUAAUUUUGCACUAAAGUGGAUUCUAGAACUUCUCCUUAUUUAUGUGGAGACAAUGGCAAUGAAGAGCAUGAAGUUUAACAUAUCACGAACAAGUAGAACAAAUCCAGAAAGGGAAGGAUCAAGUUGUCUUGGGUUUCAAGCUUGUUUCGAGGAUCGGCUGCCACGUUCUGAUACUCUAACUUGGAUCAAAUUGACACGUUCCGGCAUGCUAACUGGGAUCGAUUGCCACGUUCCAACAUAAGAAUUGGAUCGAAUUGCCACGUUCCAACAUGCUAUAAGUUUGACUUUGUGUUCCAUGAGAGGACCAACUAUGUGAUGAAGCAUGUGAAUUGUGAUGUUGAUUUUUAUGAUAAUAUUGAAUAUAUUGAUAUUUAUGCAUGUGCUAUAAUAUUGUAAUUGCUUGUUUAUGUUACACUAAUGGAUAGCCGAACGAUACUACUAGUACACUAUGGUUGUGUACUUAUUCUCCAGUU